rnacentral:rRNA from 1 species
UACGGAGGAUCCAAGCGUUAUCCGGAAUCAUUGGGUUUAAAGGGUCCGUAGGCGGCCCCGUAAGUCAGUGGUGAAAUCUCCCGGCUCAACCGGGAAAUUGCCAUUGAUACUGCAGGGCUUGAAUUAUUGGGAAGUAACUAGAAUAUGUAGUGUAGCGGUGAAAUGCUUAGAUAUUACAUGGAAUACCGAUUGCGAAGGCAGGUUACUAUCAAUACAUUGACGCUGAUGGACGAAAGCGUGGGGAGCGAACAGG